rnacentral:rRNA from 1 species
AGAGUUUGAUCCUGGCUCAGGAUGAACGCUAGCGGUCGGCCUAACACAUGCAAGUCGAGCGGCAGCAUUUCGGAGCAAUCUGAAGAUGGCGAGCGGCGAAUGGGUGAGUAACGCGUAGGCAACUUACCUUUAACCGGGGCAUAGCCCGGCGAAAGCUGGAUUAAAUCCCCAGACAUCUCAAUCAGGCAUCUGAUAGAGAUUAAAACUACGGUGGUUAGAGAUAGGCCUGCGUCCCAUUAGCUAGUUGGCGAGGUAAUGGCUCACCAAGGCGACGAUGGGUAGGGGGUUUGAAAGGAUGAUCCUCCACACUGGCACUGAGACACGGGCCAGACUCCUACGGGAGGCAGCAGUGAGGAAUAUUGCGCAAUGGGCGGAAGCCUGACGCAGCCAGACCGCGUGAAGGAAGACGGUCGUAAGAUUGUAAACUUCUUUUGUUUGCGAGGAAACGCGUGUACGGGUACAUGUUUGACAGUAGCAGACGAAUAAGCACCGGCUAACUCCGUGCCAGCAGCCGCGGUAAUACGGAGGGUGCAGGCGUUAUCCGGAUUUACUAGGUUUAAAGGGUCUGUAGGCGGUAUAGUAAGUCAGUGGUGAAAGCCCUGAGCUCAACUGAGGAACUGCCAUUGAUACUACUAUACUUGAGUACGGUUGAUGUUGGCGGAAUGCAUCAUGUAGCGGUGAAAUGCUUAGAUAUGAUGCAGAACACCGAUAGCGAAGGCAGCUAACAAAACCGUUACUGACGCUGAUAGACGAAAGCGUGGGGAGCGAACAGGAUUAGAUACCCUGGUAGUCCACGCCGUAAACGAUGAUCACUCGUUCUUGGCGAUACAAAGUCAGGGACUGAGCGAAAGCAUUAAGUGAUCCACCUGGGGAGUACGUCGGCAACGAUGAAACUCAAAGGAAUUGACGGGGGCCCGCACAAGCGGAGGAACAUGUGGUUUAAUUCGAUGAUACGCGAGGAACCUUACCUGGGCUUAAAUGCAGAAUGCAUUUACUCGAAAGAGUAAUUCCCUUCGGGGCUAUUUGCAAGGUGCUGCAUGGUUGUCGUCAGCUCGUGCCGUGAGGUGUCGGGUUAAGUCCCAUAACGAGCGCAACCCUUAUCGUUAGUUACCAGCUGGUAAAGCAGGGGACUCUAACGAAACUGCCAGUGUAAACUGAGAGGAAGGUGGGGAUGACGUCAAAUCAGCACGGCCCUUAUGUCCAGGGCUACACACGUGUUACAAUGG